UACGAAGGGGGCUAGCGUUGCUCGGAAUCACUGGGCGUAAAGGGUGCGUAGGCGGGGUUUUAAGUCAGGGGUGAAAUCCUGGAGCUCAACUCCAGAACUGCCUUUGAUACUGAGAAGCUUGAGUCCGGGAGAGGUGAGUGGAACUGCGAGUGUAGAGGUGAAAUUCGUAGAUAUUCGCAAGAACACCAGUGGCGAAGGCGGCUCACUGGCCCGGUACUGACGCUGAGGUGCGAAAGCGUGGGGAGCAAACAGG
rnacentral:rRNA from 1 species